rnacentral:rRNA from 1 species
AGAGUUUGAUCAUGGCUCAGAACGUACGCUGGCGGCACGCCUAACACAUGCAAGUCGAACGCAGUAGCAAUACUGAGUGGCAGACGGGUGAGUAUAAUGUGGGAAUCUGCCUUUUGGUUUGGAAUAACACGGGGAAACUUGUGCUAAUACCGAAUAAGCCCUUACGGGGAAAGUUUUAACGCCGAAAGAUGAGCCUGCACUUGAUUAGCUAGUUGGUAAGGUAAAGGCUUACCAAGGCAACGAUCAAUAGCUGUUCUUAGAGGAAGACCAGCCACAUUGGGACUGAGACACGGCCCAGACUCCUACGGGAGGCAGCAGUGGGGAAUCUUGCACAAUGGGGGAAACCCUGAUGCAGCGAUGCCGCGUGAGUGAAGAAGGCCCUUGGGUUGUAAAACUCUUUCGUCGGGGAAGAAAAUGACUGUACCCGAAUAAGAAGGUCCGGCUAACUUCGUGCCAGCAGCCGCGGUAAUACGAAGGGACCUAGCGUAGUUCGGAAUUACUGGGCUUAAAGAGCUCGUAGGUGGUUAAAAAAGUUGAUGGUGAAAUCCCAAGGCUCAACCUUGGAACUGCCAUCAAAACUUUUUAGCUAGAGUGUGAUAGAGGUAAGUGGAAUUUCUAGUGUAGAGGUGAAAUUCGUAGAUAUUAGAAAGAACACCAAAUGCGAAGGCAACUUACUGGGUCACUACUGACACUGAGGAGCGAAAGCAUGGGUAGCGAAGAGGAUUAGAUACCCUCGUAGUCCAUGCCGUAAACGAUGUGUGCUAG